UUACACAACGACUGCAGAUAUAUGUCAAUAUUUUGCCCUCACUGCACGUGGGGGCUGGUUGGGUAAUCUGGAGGUUUCACUACUGACUGACUACUGGCAUUAUCUGUAGAAUAUUGAAGUUGGGGGUGGAAUAAGCCUGGGUGCCGUUGUUCAAAGCAAUCUUAGCGCUAAGGUGACCGUAACUCCCAUACCUUAACAUAGACUUCUCUUAAGACCCAGGUUUGAUUCCCACAUGGUCGCACUGUGUAGAGCUCAUUUCUGGGGUACCUCGCCGUGAUAUACCUGGAGAGUUGCUGAAAUUGGCGUGAAAGCAUACCCACGUACUUAUAGUUGAGGUACUAGUCUCAACCCCGGAGAUAUAGUCACCGGAGGAAGACAUCGCCAGCAGCUUGAGGAACGCGCAGUAUCUAACCAACUCAAACAAGAUCUGUGAAAACCGGAAUACCUGCAUAUUGCAAGAUGUGUAAGAGUACACUCCUCACUGUGUUGGUGAUUCAGCUUGUCUGCUGUGGAACCAGUGUGAAGGUCUGCGAUGAAUCAAGAUGUACUUUGUGUAAAAGUGGCACAUGCGAGGAGUGUUUGUAUGGGUACUGGGGGGUCCCAGUGUGAACACGCCUGUAUCAGCUGCUGGUUGGGGGGCUGCCAUAAACAGACAGGGCGGUGUCAUCAGUGUGUUCCUGGACGAUACACCGAGGGUUGUGACACCCUCUGCCCCAGUACCUGCCGUCUUAGCUACGACAACGUGAGGUACUGUCAACGGACCAGCGGCAAGUGUCUGGAAGGAUGUGCUGAAGGGUGGUGGGGGACCACGUGUAACGAAACGUGUGGUCAAGGAUGUAAGGAGAAGGCUUGUUACCAGGAGGACGGUGUCUGCAUAUCUGAUUGUAUGGAAGGGUGGCAUGGACGAAAAUGUGAUAAACAUAACUGUCUGAACAGACACGUGUCUGGCCGGUGCAUUGACGGCUGCAAGGAUGGUUGGACAGGUGAAGUCUGCAGCGAAAGAUGUGGCGCGGACUGCAUGAAAUGCCAUCAAUACUCAGCAUCGUGCCUCAUGUGCAAAGCAGGACUUUACGGCCCCGACUGUCAGUCUGAGUGUUCAGUGAACUGCGUGAAUAUUACAUGUAACAUGGCAGGACAGUGUGAAAAUGGUUGCAUGAGAGGAUUCCACGGCAAGAAAUGCGAGAUGACAUGUCCGUACAGAUGUCUUGACUGUGACCAGACUUCGGGCAACUGCAGAAUGUGCGAGAAGGGAUGGACGGGCCUCCAGUGUCUCGAUCAGCUGGUCUCUUAUGCUAACAACCAACCAAAUACACCAGAUUUAACGAGUGGCUGCAACCAAAUGGCUGAGGUUAAAUUAACAACAUUUGCAAUGAUGAUGUUAGCAGUUCUCAUCACAUGAGCAACGUACUUGAACGUUAAAAGUUACCAGUGUAUUAGCAUUUUAAGCGAUGUUAUAAAUUACAUGGUACAAAAUACAUAUCAUGGGUUUUAUUUCUUAACAAUAACCAUGCAAAUUGAUGUAAUUUUCCUUGCCAGUGGCACAAAUUUAACCUAUAUCCCCUUUUUAGAUAUCCAUGAGAAAGCGACCAUGAGUUCGACUACAAUCGCCAUUGAUUUGCACAAAAUGAUACCUGGCUGAGAUUAUCGUGACAAAAUGCUUGACAAAAUGACGUUCAAGAAAGGGCAUAUUUAACGUGAAUAAUUUGUAUUACAUUUGAAGAAUGCCUUUAUUAUGUUCAACUGUGUGAUUCAAAUCCACCCAUUGGCAACUCGAAGAACGCCUCGCGUCAGAAAAUGAAAUUUCCGUACGACCCAAAAUUGAGAGAAUUGUAGUAUGAUCAUGCCUACAUUUUACUGCUAAGUAAAAUGCUAAAAAAGAACAAUGUUAGACGUUAAUUAACAGUGUAUAUAGUCGUUGUAAAGCAAAUGCCACUAAGUAAUCCCCGAUUGUUUUAUAUUGUGCUCUUGUUUUAGUGAUUGUACAGUUACCUCCCGAUUGCACGUCUUGAAUAUUGAUACAGUAAAGUCAUGACAUUGUUU
rnacentral:lncRNA from 1 species